GGAGGAGUAUCGAAGUGGUUAUAACGGCCUCGACUCGAAAUCGAGUGUACCAGAGAUGGUACCGUGGGUUCGAAUCCCACCUCCUCCGCCA
rnacentral:tRNA from 1 species